CUCUUAUUGUUUGACACCUCUGAUCUUAUUAUGUAAUAGAAGAACUAUAAAGAUUUCCUGUCACAGAGGAAAGACAACUCUGGAGUAAGAAGGGAAUAUUUCAGACCAAGCAUAGCUUUGAGGUGGUCUUCUGAGCACACCUCACAGGAGAUACCCUAUCUCUCCUACACAUAUGACUGACCCUGCUAGAUACUAGGGGAAUUUACCCAGGCUGGUGGACCAUCUGUGACCUAGCUUUGAAUGCAGGAUGGACUGCUUCUAAUGAGGACCAGUAAAUUAUAAGUGUCAAGGCUUGAAUUCCAAGAUGACUUUAAAUUGAAAAGGUAACAUUUUAAAGAGUUGGAAGCUGGCACCCUGAGACAUUUCCUGAAAAAAAGCAUCCAGAAUGGUGAGGGGACUGAAGACCAUGGAUGAAAAGAUUAUUUGAAGAAAUUGGCGAUAUUUAUCUUGGAAUCAAGAAGAUGUAUGAGGAACAUGGGGUUCUCAGAUGUGGAGGUCCCUGUCCUGGAAGAGAGCCUCCUAGCCUCAAGCUAUGCUGGACUCGGGCAACUGAAAGACAGGAGGAGACAGCUGCCUACUGACACUGAAUUGACAUCCCCUCCUGUGAAACCAUCUGAUGCAGCCAAAUUGGAAAGCUAAUGACCCUCAUGGAGUACUUCCUACAUAAUGUGGGCCUCUCCUCUCAGCAUGCACAGACGCUCUGGGACAGGAUGAGGAGGAAAUUCAGGAAUAGA
rnacentral:lncRNA from 1 species